CCCAGUGUUCAGACUAGCUGUUC
rnacentral:miRNA from 1 species